rnacentral:rRNA from 1 species
UACAGAGGGUACAAACGUUGUUCGGAAUCACUGGGCUUAAAGCGCGCGUAGGUGGUUCGGUAAGUGCGAUGUGAAAGCCCCCGGCCCAACCGGGGAACUGCAUCGCAGACUGCCGAGCUUGAGAGCGGUAGGGGAGACUAGAACUCCUGGUGGAGCGGUGAAAUGCGUAGAUAUCAGGAGGAAUACCGGUGGCGAAGGCGAGUCUCUGGUCCGCUUCUGACACUUAGGCGCGAAAGCUAGGGGAGCAAACGGG